rnacentral:piRNA from 1 species
UAGUAAACAACUAACUGAAAAGCGUG